rnacentral:rRNA from 1 species
GAGGAAUAUUGGGCAAUGCCCGCAAGGGUGACCCAGCAACGCCGCGUGGAGGAUGAAUGUCGUAAGAUUGUAAACUCCUGUUAGAGGGGAAGAAUAGUACCGGUUGGACCGGUAUAUGACUGUACCCUCAGAGAAAGCCCCGGCUAACUACGUGCCAGCAGCCGCGGUAAUACGUAGGGGGCAAGCGUUGUCCGGAUUUACUGGGUGUAAAGGGCGCGCAGGCGGGAUAAAAAGUCAGUGGUGAAAUCCUACAGCUUAACUGUAGAACUGCCUUUGAUACUUUUAUUCUUGAGUUCGGGAGAGAGAGACGGAAUUCCAGGUGUAGUGGUGAAAUACGUAGAUAUCUGGAAGAACAUCAGUUGCGAAGGCGGUCUCUUGGUCCGACACUGACGCUGAGGCGCGAAAGCGUGGGGAGCAAACA